AAAGCGUGCGCAGGCGGUGAUGUAAGACAGAUGUGAAAUCCCCGGGCUCAACCUGGGACCUGCAUUUGUGACUGCAUCGCUAGAGUACGGCAGAGGGGGAUGGAAUUCCGCGUGUAGCAGUGAAAUGCGUAGAUAUGCGGAGGAACACCGAUGGCGAAGGCAAUCCCCUGGGCCUGUACUGACGCUCAUGCACGAAAGCGUGGGGAGCAAACAGGAUUAGAUACCCUGGU
rnacentral:rRNA from 1 species